UAUGUGAUCGUCUCUCGCAUAUCAAUAAGCGGAGGAAAAGAAACUAACAAGGAUUCCCCUAGUAACGGCGAGUGUAGCGGGAAGAGCUCAAAUUUGAAAUCUUAAAGGGUUUCCCUUUACGAAUUGUAGUUUAAAGAAGUGUUUUCUGUUGAGGUUUUGGUAAAAGUUCUUUGGAAUAGGACAUCAUAGAGGGUGAGAAUCCCGUAUUUGACCUUUACUUUCAACUUUGUGAUACACUUUCAAAGAGUCGGAUUGUUUGGGAAUGUAGUCCAAAAUGGGUGGUAAAUUUCAUCUAAAGCUAAAUAUUGGCGAGAGACCGAUAGCGAACAAGUACCGUGAGGGAAAGAUGAAAAGAACUUUGAAAAGAGAGUUAAACAGUACGUGAAAUUGUCAAAAGGGAAGCGUUUGACACCAGUGUUGUUUUUCUGAAAAUCAAUUAAAGAACUGUUUAUGCUAAGUUGUUUAGACUUUAUCAGCUAACUGUUUAGUUUUGAGCUUUUCUUUAAUGCACUUUUCAGUUAACAAGUCAACAUCAAUUUCUUUUGCUGUAAAAAAGCUUGAGGAAGGUGGCUUGAGAUUCGUCUUAAGUGUCUAUAGCCUCUUGCCUAUGCAGUCGGAGAGAUUGAGGUCUGCAGCGUAGAUCCUUCGGGGCUAAAUGCAUUUGUGCUAAGUUAUAGCAUUUUAUAGACAACUUGUUGACUACGAUUUGUCUUGUAGCUUACUCGCUUAUGUUAUUUUACCUACGCUUAGGAUGUUGAAGAUAUGCGCGACACG
rnacentral:rRNA from 1 species